UACCCUCAAAUCCUCUUGUGGCAUGAAUCAGACCAAAAAUUUUCCAAAUCUUUCCACUUGACCACACAGAAAUUAGCAGAAAUGCAAACCACCAGAAGUGCAUGAGACGAGGCUGGCUAAGACAAGGAUUAAAUUAGACUGCCUUUGCCAGAAGACAGAAAGAAGUCAUUGCCAAAACAACAACAACAACAACAACAACAAAACAGUUAAAGAUAGUCAACUCCAGAGCACCAGCAAUAGCUAAGCAUCAACUACACAUUUGUAUUCCCUUCUAUUCGAUGUUGAUUAAUUCUAUUACAUCAUACACAAACAAUCCAGAAAGAAAAAGGAGGUGUAGAAGGAGGAGGAAAAGGAGAAUGAGGAGGUGGAGUAUAAGUGGAGAAAAGACAUUAAAGUAAAUUAAAUUACAUGGAACAAAAUGAAGACAUUAAAAGGCAUUAAGGUAAAUUAAAUUACGUGGUACAAGAUAAAGACAUUUGAUUUGUUAUUUGGGAACUCUAUGGUUUUCCGGCAGUUUGUU
rnacentral:lncRNA from 1 species